rnacentral:rRNA from 1 species
AUUGAACGCUGGCGGCAGGCCUAACACAUGCAAGUCGAACGAGAGGCGGACGGGUGAGUAAUGUCUGGGAAAAUGCCUGAUGGAGGGGGAUAACUACUGGAAACGGUAGCUAAUACCGCAUACCAUCAGAUGUGCCCAGAUGGGAUUAGCUAGUUGGUGGGGUAACGGCUCACCAAGGCGACGAUCCCUAGCUGGGCUGAGAGGAUGACCAGCCACACUGGAACUGAGACACGGUCCAGACUCCUACGGGAGGCAGCAGUGGGGAAUAUUGCACAAUGGGCGAAAGCCUGAUCCAGCCAUGCCGCGUGGAUGAAGAAGGCCUUCGGGUUGUAAAGUACUUUCAGCGGGGAGGCGUUACCCGCAGAAGAAGCACCGGCUAACUCCGUGCCAGCCGCCGCGGUAAUAC